UGCCUUAACGUGACUUGGCUCUCUGUGUUUCAGGCCUCUUUUGUCCUGUGAGCCACUAAAUGAAAGCUCAAGAGCCAAAGGAAGUAAGCAGACUCCUUCCCCAAAAAAAGGCUGCUGGAGUGAGUGAGCCUCGCCUGACCCUGGCUUGAGCAAGCUGAGGGAAGAACUGAGAACCCUUUCUUGGGGACUUUACCCUCAGCAAGCGCUUUAUAAAAUAAAGAUUCUUCAUUACCAAGCAGAGUCUGAUUCUAAAAAGUACUUCCCAGAAUCAGAGAAACUCAACACUGGAAGAGAUCUCAGAGACCAUCACAUCUCCUAUAAAUUCCUUUACGAGGAAAAUGAUAAACGCUGGAAGGCAUAUGAGUAAACUGGGACAUCGAUGCACUGCUGGCAAAGUUGUAAACGUGUCCAACCAUUCUGAAGAACAAUUUGGAACUAUAUCAAAGGGGCUAUAAAACUGUACAUACCCUUUGACGUAGACAUACCACUAGUAGGUCUGUAU
rnacentral:lncRNA from 1 species